GAUGAAGAACGCAGCGAAAUGCGAUAAGUAAUGUGAAUUGCAGAAUUCAGUGAAUCAUCGAAUCUUUGAACGCACAUUGCGCCCCUUGGUAUUCCGGGGGGCAUGCCUGUUCGAGCGUCAUUUCAACCCUCAAGCUCUGCUUGGUAUUGGUCACCGUCCUUUGCGGGCGCGCCUCAAAGACCUCGGCGGUGGCGUCUUGCCUCAAGCGUAGUAGAAUACACCUCGCUUCGGAGCGUAAGGCGUCGCCCGCCGGACGAACCUUCUGAACUUUUCUCAAGGUUGACCUCGGAUCAGGUAGGGAUACCCGCUGAACUUAAGCAUAUCAAUAAGCGGAGGA
rnacentral:misc_RNA from 1 species